AUUGAACGCUGGCGGCAGGCCUAACACAUGCAAGUCGAACGAGUGGCGGACGGGUGAGAAAUGUCUGGGAAAGUGCCUGAUGGAGGGGGAUAACUACUGGAAAGGGUAGCUAAUACCGCAAAACAUCAGAUGUGCCUAUAUGGGAUUAGCUUGUGGGUGGGGUAAGGGCUCACCAAGGCGACGAUCCCUAGCUGGUCUGAGAGGAUGACCAGCCACACGGGGACUGAGACACGGUCCAGACUCCUACGGGAGGCAGCAGUGGGGAAUAUUGCACAAUGGGCGCAAGCCUGAUGCAGCCAUGCCGCGUGUAUGAAGAAGGCCCUAGGGUUGUAAAGUACUUUCAGCCGGGAGGCGUUACCCGCAGAAGAAGCACCGGCUAACUCCGUGCCAGCAGCCGCGGUAAUAC
rnacentral:rRNA from 1 species